UUAAGCGACUAAGCGUACACGGUGGAUGCCCUGGCAGUCAGAGGCGAUGAAGGACGUGCUAAUCUGCGAUAAGCGUCGGUAAGGUGAUAUGAACCGUUAUAACCGGCGAUUUCCGAAUGGGGAAACCCAGUGUGAUUCGUCACACUAUCAUUAACUGAAUCCAUAGGUUAAUGAGGCGAACCGGGGGAACUGAAACAUCUAAGUACCCCGAGGAAAAGAAAUCAACCGAGAUUCCCCCAGUAGCGGCGAGCGAACGGGGAGGAGCCCAGAGCCUGAAUCAGUGUGUGUGUUAGUGGAAGCGUCUGGAAAGGCGCGCGAUACAGGGUGACAGCCCCGUACACAAAAAUGCACAUGCUGUGAGCUCGAUGAGUAGGGCGGGACACGUGGUAUCCUGUCUGAAUAUGGGGGGACCAUCCUCCAAGGCUAAAUACUCCUGACUGACCGAUAGUGAACCAGUACCGUGAGGGAAAGGCGAAAAGAACCCCGGCGAGGGGAGUGAAAAAGAACCUGAAACCGUGUACGUACAAGCAGUGGGAGCCUCUUUAUGGGGUGACUGCGUACCUUUUGUAUAAUGGGUCAGCGACUUAUAUUCUGUAGCAAGGUUAACCGAAUAGGGGAGCCGAAGGGAAACCGAGUCUUAACUGGGCGUUAAGUUGCAGGGUAUAGACCCGAAACCCGGUGAUCUAGCCAUGGGCAGGUUGAAGGUUGGGUAACACUAACUGGAGGACCGAACCGACUAAUGUUGAAAAAUUAGCGGAUGACUUGUGGCUGGGGGUGAAAGGCCAAUCAAACCGGGAGAUAGCUGGUUCUCCCCGAAAGCUAUUUAGGUAGCGCCUCGUGAACUCAUCUCCGGGGGUAGAGCACUGUUUCGGCAAGGGGGUCAUCCCGACUUACCAACCCGAUGCAAACUGCGAAUAUCGGAGAAUGUUAUCACGGGAGACACACGGCGGGUGCUAACGUCCGUCGUGAAGAGGGAAACAACCCAGACCGCCAGCUAAGGUCCCAAAGUCAUGGUUAAGUGGGAAACGAUGUGGGAAGGCCCAGACAGCCAGGAUGUUGGCUUAGAAGCAGCCAUCAUUUAAAGAAAGCGUAAUAGCUCACUGGUCGAGUCGGCCUGCGCGGAAGAUGUAACGGGGCUAAACCAUGCACCGAAGCUGCGGCAGCGACGCUUAUGCGUUGUUGGGUAGGGAGCGUUCUGUAAGCCUGUGAAGGUGUGCUGUGAGGCAUGCUGGAGGUAUCAGAAGUGCGAAUGCUGACAUAAGUAACGAUAAAGCGGGUGAAAAGCCCGCUCGCCGGAAGACCAAGGGUUCCUGUCCAACGUUAAUCGGGGCAGGGUGAGUCGACCCCUAAGGCGAGGCCGAAAGGCGUAGUCGAUGGGAAACAGGUUAAUAUUCCUGUACUUGGUGUUACUGCGAAGGGGGGACGGAGAAGGCUAUGUUGGCCGGGCGACGGUUGUCCCGGUUUAAGCGUGUAGGCUGGUUUUCCAGGCAAAUCCGGAAAAUCAAGGCUGAGGCGUGAUGACGAGGCACUACGGUGCUGAAGCAACAAAUGCCCUGCUUCCAGGAAAGCCUCUAAGCAUCAGGUAACAUCAAAUCGUACCCCAAACCGACACAGGUGGUCAGGUAGAGAAUACCAAGGCGCUUGAGAGAACUCGGGUGAAGGAACUAGGCAAAAUGGUGCCGUAACUUCGGGAGAAGGCACGCUGAUAUGUAGGUGAAGUCCCUCGCGGAUGGAGCUGAAAUCAGUCGAAGAUACCAGCUGGCUGCAACUGUUUAUUAAAAACACAGCACUGUGCAAACACGAAAGUGGACGUAUACGGUGUGACGCCUGCCCGGUGCCGGAAGGUUAAUUGAUGGGGUCAGCGCAAGCGAAGCUCUUGAUCGAAGCCCCGGUAAACGGCGGCCGUAACUAUAACGGUCCUAAGGUAGCGAAAUUCCUUGUCGGGUAAGUUCCGACCUGCACGAAUGGCGUAAUGAUGGCCAGGCUGUCUCCACCCGAGACUCAGUGAAAUUGAACUCGCUGUGAAGAUGCAGUGUACCCGCGGCAAGACGGAAAGACCCCGUGAACCUUUACUAUAGCUUGACACUGAACAUUGAGCCUUGAUGUGUAGGAUAGGUGGGAGGCUUAGAAGUGUGGACGCCAGUCUGCAUGGAGCCGACCUUGAAAUACCACCCUUUAAUGUUUGAUGUUCUAACGUUGACCCGUAAUCCGGGUUGCGGACAGUGUCUGGUGGGUAGUUUGACUGGGGCGGUCUCCUCCUAAAGAGUAACGGAGGAGCACGAAGGUUGGCUAAUCCUGGUCGGACAUCAGGAGGUUAGUGCAAUGGCAUAAGCCAGCUUGACUGCGAGCGUGACGGCGCGAGCAGGUGCGAAAGCAGGUCAUAGUGAUCCGGUGGUUCUGAAUGGAAGGGCCAUCGCUCAACGGAUAAAAGGUACUCCGGGGAUAACAGGCUGAUACCGCCCAAGAGUUCAUAUCGACGGCGGUGUUUGGCACCUCGAUGUCGGCUCAUCACAUCCUGGGGCUGAAGUAGGUCCCAAGGGUAUGGCUGUUCGCCAUUUAAAGUGGUACGCGAGCUGGGUUUAGAACGUCGUGAGACAGUUCGGUCCCUAUCUGCCGUGGGCGCUGGAGAACUGAGGGGGGCUGCUCCUAGUACGAGAGGACCGGAGUGGACGCAUCACUGGUGUUCGGGUUGUCAUGCCAAUGGCACUGCCCGGUAGCUAAAUGCGGAAGAGAUAAGUGCUGAAAGCAUCUAAGCACGAAACUUGCCCCGAGAUGAGUUCUCCCUGACUCCUUGAGAGUCCUGAAGGAACGUUGAAGACGACGACGUUGAUAGGCCGGGUGUGUAAGCGCAGCGAUGCGUUGAGCUAACCGGUACUAAUGAACCGUGAGGCUUAACCU
rnacentral:rRNA from 1 species